GGAGCCAAGGGUCCUAGGGUUUGGGUGGGGAGUGGCCCAUCGGGUUCCCUAUUCAGUCAUAAGUCAUGGCAGGAGCAUCACUUAAGUCGAAGCAUACGUGCAGAUACGAUGGCAAUGGUAAAUGGUUAACAGCAAAACCAGCCAACCAAAACAAAGGGAGGGUAACCCAAGAGAAGAAACAGUCAAUUCUACGAUAAACACAGAAGAUUGUCGAUAAAUAUGGGAAAUACGCAGAGCAAAGGCGAAAGGAUUUGCUGAAAUGAUCAAUGCACCAAGAAAACUAAAGAGGGAUCUUGUCAGGUGAAGAGAGAAGAGAGGUAGUCGCAGUGAGAGGUGGCUAGUUAGAAUCUCAAUCUAAGAGCAUCUCCAAGAGUUUCCUAAACAUCCUCCUAAUACUUGUUUUUUAGAAAGAUGGGCAAAAACUCUUCUCCAACAACUUCUAAUAUCUACUUCUAAUCUUUUAGGACUUGGCAAAUUCCGGCCUCUUCCGCGUAACUUUGCGCGGACGAUGCGUCGCACGGAUCCAUCGUUCACGUGUGGAAUCCUUCUUCCCGCGCCUUCUGUUGUAGGGCUUCUGCUUCUCACGUACAACCGCUCGUCCAUCCGUUGUAUAGAGGUCGCGGUCUAGGUCGACGAACGAAGCCGCCGAGAACAUAUCAUCGAGGUACGUAGUCUGAUCUACAGUCUACUGCUUUGCCAUGGGUUUGCUACGCCGCCGCCGCCAUGGAUUCGUGCCGGCCGCCGCUACCGUUACCUAUGGGUUUUCCUUGGUCGCUAGCGGCCUGUGCUUGGGAAGUGCUGCCACUUGGGAGGUGCUACCGGCCUUGUCCACGGCCGGCUGGAAGAAGGCCACGGCUCGCUGGGAGGAGAUCACCGAUGCCUGGAAAGGUUUUUGGAAAGGGCAGCAUGAUGGAUGGAGGCGACGGCGUCAUGGGUAGGCGCGGCAACGAAGGGUUUCGUGCGAAAAAAAGAGUGCAGAAAAAAAAGCAAAGUGGGACCAACAUUUGAUUUUUUGGAAGUCAAAUAUUAGGAAUUAUUGGAGAUGAACUUCUUUUUUUCUCCUAAAAUCUUUUUAGGAGGUUGGGAAUAUAGACGUUUUAGGAGAAAUAUUUAGGAAACUCUUGGAGAUGCUCUAAGCAUCUAGCUAAGUAGCAUAGGUCUUUGGCCUAGAAAAAAAAUAAAGAGGCAAGGUCCAAGUCCAAGAAAAGUUAAUCCAGGCAUAUAUAUCUAGCUAAUUAGCAGUCACCAAGCUACCUGUGUUCCUUGUCCUGUCUCACUUAGUUUAUCACUGAAGUCCAAGCAUAAGUGCAGAUGGCAAUGGGUAACAGCAACCAGCGGGUAACCCAGCCAAUAGAAGAAACUGUUAAUUCUACAAUAAAUACUGAAGACUGUUGAUAACGAUGGGCAGCGUGCAGCAAAGGAGAAAGUGGUUGCUGAAAUGAUCAAUGCACCAAGAAAAUUAAACAGACAAGGUAAAAGAAUGUCAAUCUAGGCAUAGCUAAGUAGCUGUCACCAAGCAGGGGCGGAUCGAAAGGGGGGCUGGGUGGGCUCCAGCCCUCUAUGAGCCUGAUUUGUCCACUAAAUUAGUAUUAAUUAACCUUAAAUUCUUAUUAAUCUCUAGUUUUAAUCCUAUAUGUUUACUAUUUAGUCUCUCCUUUGUCCCCAUUAUGGAUCCGCCACUGUCACCAAGCUAUCUAUCAGCGGCGGAGCCAGAAAUUUUUCUUAUUAGCUAGGAAAACUCUCCGCACAAGCUACAUGCUAAUCAAAAGCACCAACAAAAACAGAACCAUGAUUAGAGAGGGUACCACACAACCAUCAAUCACGCUCACCCACCGCUUUUGCAACUAGGUUAGAGGUGUUUGGAUGUAGAGACUAAAUAAAUUUAAUAGGUGUCAUAUCGAAUAUCAUAUGGGAUGAUAAGGUGUUCAGGUACUAAUAAAAAAUUAAAUUAUAGAUCAUCAGUAAUCCGCAAGACGAAUUUAUAAAGCCUAAGUAAUCUGUCAUUAGCAUAUUUUUACUGUAGCAAUCAUAGAUUAAUUUAUUAUUAAUUAUAGACUAAUUAGGCUUAAAAUUUCGUCUCGUAAAUUAGUCGCAAUCUGUGUUUUUAGUUUGGACAGAUAUUGAGAUUAAUUUAGACUAUUUAAAAAUUCAUCUCGUAAAUUACGCCUUGGCUCCUCAUUAGUGACGUGGAUGGGUGUGGAGUAUUUGAAAGGAUUUUGGAUCACCCAUAAACAAAUUAUGGGUUUUAUUGAGUGGAUCUGGGUGGACUACAUGGUGUCAAAAUUGGACUGCCUCUAACCGUGUUCCAGCAGGAAAACACGAGCUCAGGUCACUUCGUAGUUUGCCAUGCUUUUUCCGUGGAUCUUAAUUUUAACUACCAUUUACGUUGUUAGCAAAUUAACAUGCUUUGUUUUCUACUUUGUAGUUUGCCACGAACUGUGCAACAGAAUCAAUGAUUCAUCCUCUGACGGUGGAGAGUCACAUGGAUCUUGACGAAGAAUAGGACUAUAGGAGCAAGCUACCGACAAACAAUUUCGUCAAGCUAGAUAUGGAUGUUGCAUUAGGCAUGCUUCUUCUUAGGGUUAGUUAUUUUGAACUAUUAAUCAGAUCCACCAUUUGUUUAUCUCUUGUCACCUGUACUGAACGUUGUUUUGUAUCGUCCCCAGA
rnacentral:lncRNA from 1 species